CAGAGUUUAUCAAGAGAAGCUACCAUCGCCAUUGCAGUUAGUCUGUCAUUGUUUGGACUCAUAGUAGUUGUAGUAGUCUUUGUUGUAUUGAAGUACAAAGGCAUUGCAUGCUUUGGUACAACCGCCCUAGUUGUGCCACAAAACUAGAGAAUGAAAAAAAAAAAUAUCG
rnacentral:sRNA from 1 species